rnacentral:rRNA from 1 species
GCUUAACCGGAGAAGUGCAUCGGAAACUGGGAGACUUGAGUGCAGAAGAGGACAGUGGAACUCCAUGUGUAGCGGUGGAAUGCGUAGAUAUAUGGAAGAACACCAGUGGCGAAGGCGGCUGUCUAGUCUGUAACUGACGCUGAGGCUCGAAAGCAUGGGUAGCGAACAGGAUUAGAUACCCUGGUAGUCCAUGCCGUAGACGAUGAGUGCUAAGUGUUGGAGGGUUUCCGCCCUUCAGUGCUGCAGCUAACGCAUUAAGCACUCCGCCUGGGGAGUACGACCGCAAGGUUGAAACUCAAAGGAAUUGACGGGGGCCCGCACAAGCGGUGGAGCAUGUGGUUUAAUUCGAAGCUACGCGAAGAACCUUACCAGGUCUUGACAUCUUCUGCCAAUCUUAGAGAUAAGACGUUCCCUUCGGGGACAGAAUGACAGGUGGUGCAUGGUUGUCGUCAGCUCGUGUCGUGAGAUGUUGGGUUAAGUCCCGCAACGAGCGCAACCCUUAUUAUCAGUUGCCAGCAUUCAGUUGGGCACUCUGGUGAGACUGCCGGUGACAAACCGGAGGAAGGUGGGGAUGACGUCAAAUCAUCAUGCCCCUUAUGACCUGGGCUACACACGUGCUACAAUGGACGGUACAACG